rnacentral:tRNA from 1 species
GGGGGUGUAGUUCAGUGGUAGAGAGCUCACCUCAGGUGCAUAAAGCCCUGGGUUCAAUCCCCAGCACCACCA